AAAAAAAAACAUACAUAAUAUCAUCUUAGUAAAACUUAUACAGUUUCUUCGCUACACUCGGAAUCUGAAAUAAAAAUAAACGACAAUUCACACUUGAAUUUCCGACUUUUUUUUUUCCGAUUUUAGUUGUUCAUUCGAAUCAUUCUCGAUAGCAUUCAAUAAAACUCAUUUUCGGUCUUCAUCUCCCCACAAGCGGAUCUUUUCACUCUCCGAUAUACGAG